rnacentral:rRNA from 1 species
AUUGAACGCUGGCGGCAGGCCUAACACAUGCAAGUCGAGCGAGCGGCGGACGGGUGAGUAAUGUCUGGGACACUGCCUGAUGGAGGGGGAUAACUACUGGAAACGGUAGCUCAUACCGCAUACCAUCAGAUGUGCCCAGAUGGGAUUAGCUCGUAGGUGGGGUAACGGCUCACCUUGGCGACGAUCCCUAGCUGGUCUGAGAGGAUGACCAGAAACACUGGAACUGAUACACGGUCCAGACUCCUACGGGAGGCAGCAGUGGGGAAUAUUGCACAAUGGGCGCAAGCCUGAUGCAGCCAUGCCGCGUGUGUGAAGAAGGCCUUCGGGUUGUAAAGCACUUGCAGCGGGGAGGCGUUACCCGCAGAAGAAGCACCGGCUAACUCCGUGCCAGCAGCCGCGGUAAUUC